rnacentral:rRNA from 1 species
GAGACCUGUAUCUACAAUUGCCAGCGGACGGUUUCCGGGAUCGGGCACAUUGUAGGGACUGCCCUCGAAAGGGGGAGGAAGGCGCAGGCCACGGUAGGUCUGUAUGCUCCGAAUCUUCUGGGCUACACGCGCGCAGCAAUGGUAAGGACAAUGGGAUACGACUCCGAAAGGAGAAGUCAAGCCUCUAAACCUUAUCCAAGUCCAGAUUGAGGGUUGUAACUCACCCUCAUGACGUUGGAAUCCCUAGUAAUCGGAUCUCAUCACAGUCCGGUGAAUAU